CGCUGGCUGUGUGCCUAAUACAUGCAUGUCGAACGAAGCACUUGUGCUUAGUGGCAAAUGGGUGAGUAACACGUACUUAAUCUACCCCCAAGUUUGGGAUAACAGUUGGAAACAAUUGCUAAUACCAAAUACAUAUAAGUUUUGCAUAAUUCUUAUAUAAAAGGAGCGUUUGUUUCGCUAGGGGAUGAUAGUGCGCUACAUUAGUUAGUUGGUAGGGUAAGAGCCUACCAAGACUAUGAUGUAUAGCGGGGCUGAGAAGCUGAACCGCCACACUGGGACUGAGAUACGGCCCAGACUCCUACGGGAGGCAGCAGUAGGGAAUAUUCCACAAUGAGCGAAAGCUUGAUGGAGCAACACAGCGUGCAGGAAGACGACCUUAGGGUUGUAAACUGCUGUUAUGAGGGAAGAAAAAUAAAAUUAGGAAAUGAAUUUUACAUGACGGCACCUCAUCAGANAGCACCGGCAAACUAUGUGCCAGCAGCCGCGGUAAUACAUAGGGCGCAAGCGUUAUCCGGAAUU
rnacentral:rRNA from 1 species